rnacentral:rRNA from 1 species
GUGCCAGCAGCCGCGGUAAUACCGGCAGCCCGAGUGAUGGCCGAUCUUAUUGGGCCUAAAGCGUCCGUAGCUGGGUCUGAAAGUCCGUCGGGAAAUCCACUCGCUCAACGAGUGGCCGUCCGGUGGAAACUCCACACCUUGGGACCGGAAGGCUCGAAGGGUACGGCCGGGGUAGGAGUGAAAUCCCAUAAUCCCGCACGGACCACCGAUGGCGAAAGCACUUCGAGAAAACGGAUCCGACAGUGAGGGACGAAAGCCAGGGUCUCCAACCGGAUUAGAAACCCUAGUAGUCC